ACCUGGUGUAGCUCAGUUGGUAGAGCACAAGACUCUUGUUAAUCUCAAGGUCAUGGGUUCGAGUCCCACAUUGGGCC